rnacentral:rRNA from 1 species
GCCUACACAUGCAAGUCGAACGGUAGCACAGAGGAGCUUGCUCCUUGGGUGACGAGUGGCGUACGGGUGAGGAAUAUAUCGGAAUCUACCCAAUCGUGGGGGAUAACGUAGGGAAACUUACGCUAAUACCGCAUACGAACUGAGGUUGAAAGCGGCGGACCGCAAGGCGUCGCGCGGAUGGAUGAGCCGAUAUCCGAUUAGCUAGUUGGCGGGGUAAAGGCCCACCAAGGCGACGAUCGGUAGCUGGUCUGAGAGGAUGAUCAGCCACACUGGAACUGAGACACGGUCCAGACUCCUACGGGAGGCAGCAGUGGGGAAUAUUGGACAAUGGGCGCAAGCCUGAUCCAGCCAUGCCGCGUGUGUGAAGAAGGCCUUCGGGUUGUAAAGCACUUUUGUUGGGAAAGGAAAGCGGUCGGUUAAUACCCGGUCGUUCUGACGGUACCCAAAGAAUAAGCACCGGCUAACUUCGUGCCAGCAGCCGCGGUAAUACGAAGGGUGCAAGCGUUACUCGGAAUUACUGGGCGUAAAGCGUGCGUAGGUGGUUUGUUAAGUCAGAUGUGAAAGCCCCGGGCUCAACCUGGGAAUUGCAUUUGAUACUGGCAGACUAGAGUGCGGUAGAGGAGAGUGGAAUUCCCGGUGUAGCAGUGAAAUGCGUAGAGAUCGGGAGGAACAUCAGUUGCGAAGGCGGCUCUCUGGACCAGCACUGACACUGAGGCACGAAAGCGUGGGGAGCAAACAGGAUUAGACACCCUGGUAGUCCACGCCCUAAACGAUGCGAACUGGACGUUGGGAUCAAUUGAGAUUUCAGUGUCGAAGCUAACGCGUUAAGUUCGCCGCCUGGGGAGUACGGUCGCAAGACUGAAACUCAAAGGAAUUGACGGGGGCCCGCACAAGCGGUGGAGUAUGUGGUUUAAUUCGAUGCUACGCGCAGAACCUUACCUGGUCUUGACAUGUCGAGAACUUUCUAGAGAUAGAUUGGUGCCUU